rnacentral:rRNA from 1 species
CCUACGGGUGGCAGCAGUGGGGAAUAUUGCUCAAUGGGCGGAACCCUGAUGCAGCGACGCCGCGUGAGUGAUGAAGUAUCUCGGUAUGUAAAGCUCUAUCAGCAGGGAAGAAAAUGACGCUACCUGACUAAGAAGCCAUGGCUACCUACGUGCCAGCAGCCGCGGUAAUACGUCGGGUGCAAGCGUUAUCCGGAUGUACUGGGUGUAAAGGGAGCGUAGACGGCAGAGCAAGUCUGUAGGCAAAGCCCGCGGCCCAACGGCGGGACUGCUUUGGAAACUGCCCGGCUCGAGUGCUGGAGAGGUAAGCGGAAUGCCUGGUGUAGCGGUGAAAUGCGUAGAUAUUAGGAGGAACACCAGUGGCGAAGGCGGCUUACUGGACAGUAACUGACGUUGAGGCUCGAAAGCGUGGGGAGCAAACAGGAUUAGAUACCCGAGUAGUC